CAAUAGCAUAUAUUAAAGUUGUUGCCGUUAAAAAGCUCGUAGUCGAACUUCGGCGCCUGCCGGCCGGUCCGCCUUCUUGGUGUGUACUUGCUUCGGCGGGCGCUUACCUCCUGGUGAACUCUGAUGUCCUUUACUGGGUGUCAGAGCGAACCAGGACGUUUACUUUGAAAAAAUUAGAGUGUUCAAAGCAGGCCUACGCCCGAAUACAUUAGCAUGGAAUAAUAGAAUAGGACGCGCGUUCCCAUUUUGUUGGUUUCUGAGAUCGCCGUAAUGAUUAAUAGGGAUAGUUGGGGGCAUUUGUAUUCCGUCGUCAGAGGUGAAAUUCUUGGAUUGCCGGAAGACAAACUACUGCGAAAGCAUUUGCCAAGGAUGUUUUCAUUGAUCAAGAACGAAGGAAGGGGGAUCGAAAACGAUCAGAUACCGUUGUAGUCUCUUCUGUAAACUAUGCCAAUUGGGGAUCGGCACAGGAUUUUCAAUGACUGUGUCGGCACCCGAAGAGAAAUCUUUAAAUGAGGUUCGGGGGGGAGUAUGGUCGCAAGGCUGAAACUUAAAGGAAUUGACGGAAGGGCACCACCAGGUGUGGAGCCUGCGGCUUAAUUUGACUCAACACGGGGAAACUCACCAGGUCCAGACACAAUAAGGAUUGACAGAUUGAUAGCUCUUUCUUGAUCUUGUGGUUGGUGGUGCAUGGCCGUUCUUAGUUGGUGGAGUGAUUUGUCUGGUUAAUUCCGAUAACGAACGAGACCUUAACCUGCUAAAUAGACCAGCCGGCUUUGGCUGGCUGCUGUCUUCUUAGAGGGACUAUCAGCGUUUAGCUGAUGGAAGU
rnacentral:rRNA from 1 species